rnacentral:rRNA from 1 species
UACGAAGGGGGCUAGCGUUGUUCGGAAUUACUGGGCGUAAAGCGCACGUAGGCGGACUCUUAAGUCAGGGGUGAAAUCCUGGAGCUCAACUCCAGAACUGCCCUUGAUACUGGGAGCCUUGAGUUCGGGAGAGGUGAGUGGAACUGCGAGUGUAGAGGUGAAAUUCGUAGAUAUUCGCAAGAACACCAGUGGCGAAGGCGGCUCACUGGCCCGAUACUGACGCUGAGGUGCGAAAGCGUGGGGAGCAAACAGG